CCUACGGGGGGCAGCAGUGGGGAAUAUUGGACAAUGGGCGAAAGCCUGAUCCAGCCAUGCCGCGUGUGUGAAGAAGGCCUUCGGGUUGUAAAGCACUUUCAGUGGGGAAGAAAGCCUUGGGGCUAAUACCCUCGAGGAAGGACAUCACCCACAGAAGAAGCACCGGCUAACUCCGUGCCAGCAGCCGCGGUAAUACGGAGGGUGCGAGCGUUAAUCGGAAUUACUGGGCGUAAAGCGCGCGUAGGCGGUCUGAUAAGCCGGUUGCGAAAGCCCCGGGCUCAACCUGGGAACGGCAUCCGGAACUGUCAGGCUAGAGUGCAGGAGAGGAAGGUAGAAUUCCCGGUGUAGCGGUGAAAUGCGUAGAGAUCGGGAGGAAUACCAGUGGCGAAGGCGGCCUUCUGGACUGACACUGACGCUGAGGUGCGAAAGCGUGGGUAGCAAACAGGAUUAGAUACCCUUGUAGUC
rnacentral:rRNA from 1 species